rnacentral:rRNA from 1 species
ACAGGGGGGGCAAGCGUUGUUCGGAAUUACUGGGCGUAAAGGGCUCGUAGGCGGCCAACUAAGUCACACGUGAAAUCCCCAAGCUUAACUUGGGAACUGCGUCCGAUACUGGGUGACUUGAGUUCGGGAGAGGAAUGUGGAAUUCCAGGUGUAGCGGUGAAAUGCGUAGAUAUCUGGAGGAACACCGGUGGCGAAGGCGGCAUUCUGGACCGAAACUGACGCUGAGGCGCGAAAGCCAGGGGAGCAAACGGGA